UACGAAGGGGGCGAGCGUUGUUCGGAAUUACUGGGCGUAAAGGGCGCGCAGGCGGCCUUUGAAGUCAGGCGUGAAAGCCCCGGGCUCAACCUGGGAGGUGCGCUUGAUACUCGAAGGCUGGAGUGCGGGAGAGGAGAGUGGAAUUCCGCAAGUAGAGGUGAAAUUCGUAGAUAUGCGGAGGAACACCAGUGGCGAAGGCGACCACCUGGACUGAUACUGACACUGAGGUGCGAAAGCGUGGGGAGCAAACAGG
rnacentral:rRNA from 1 species